rnacentral:lncRNA from 1 species
CAGAGAGAUAAAUAGAAGGAUAGAUAAGAUAAAGCAAACAUAGCAACAAGGUGGUGAGUACAUAGCUGUUUAAUGGAUUACUCUUUCAAUUUUUCUAUUUAAAAAUAUUCAUAAUAAAAAGUCGGAGGAGUUCCUGCUGUGGCUCAGUGGCUUAAGAACCCAACAAGUAUCCAUGAGGAUAUGGGUUCGAUCUCUGGCCUCAUUCAGUGGGUUAAGGAUCAGGCAUUGCCACUAAAAAAAAGAUAGCCUUAAAUUUCCAGGGACAAAGAAAAUGUGGCACAUAUAUACAAUGGAAUAUUACUCAGCCAUAAAAAGAAUGGAAUAAUGCCAUUUGAAGCAACAUGGGUGGACCUAGAGAUUAUUUUACUAAGUGAAGUUUGUGAUAGACAACCCUCAUAUGAUAUCACGUAUAUGUGGAACCUAAGAAAAGGAUACAAAUGAACUUAUUUGCAGAGCAGAAACAGACUUACAGACUUUGAAAACAAACUUAUGGUUACCAAAGGGGACAGGUGGUCCGGAGGGGUUUGGGACUGGCAUCUGCACACAGAGGCAUAUGGAAUGAUUGGCCAGUGGGGACCUGCUGUAGAGCACAGGGAAAUCUACGCAAUAUUCUGUGAUCCUCUAUAUGGGAAAAGAAUCUGAAAGAGAAUGAAUGUGUGUAUAUGUGUAACCGAAUCAUUUUGUUGUACAGCAGAAAUUAUCGCAAACCGGUAAAUCAGCUAUACUUCAGUAAAACUUUAAAAAAUGAAAAAAAAUUUUCCAGGAACAUAACCCUUGGGCUAGUUUCUCUUCUGACAAACAUGAUUUUCUUCUUUUUUAUUAGAUAUGAAAAACAGGGAGUUCCUGUCGUGGCGCAGUGGUUAACGAAACAAUUUGAGAAACAUUGGCUUGGAGCAGUGGUUCGCACCCUAGGCUGCACAUUAUAAUGCCCCAAAGAACAUUAAAAUGUACUGAUACCUUGGUUCCAUUCUCUAAGAUUCUGAUUUGUUGGGUGAGCCACAUCCACCAGAACUCCCAAGAUAGAAAGUUACUCGCCUAGAAGAAUCUGUUGACUAAGAUGGGUUACCUGAAGUUGGCAGAUUAGACUUGGUUCUUGGUUCUCCAACUAGUCAUGUUGGAGGUAAAUUGAGAGGCUUAGACA